UUGAAUAUUGUAUGCACUUGGUAUUGUUCCAUUCAUUCUACAACAUUGUUUUCUACCUAUACGUUACAUGCAUAUUUCAUGUGUUUCCUGUGCACGCUAUAUGCUGCAUGUGGCAUCCAUGCCCAUGCACCACGUUAUGUGUGAACUGUGUGGUGUGUGUGUGUGGCGUGUAUGUUUUGGUGUUCUGCCUUCAGACAGUUCUGCACAGGCCUCGCGUGUGCAAGUGGCCAUCCAGACCCUGGAUGAGAAUGACAAUGCUCCCCAGCUGGCUGAGCCCUACGAUACUUUUGUGUGUGACUCUGCAGCUCCUGGCCAGCUGAUUCAGGUCAUCCGGGCCCUGGACAGAGAUGAAGUUGGCAACAGUAGCCAUGUCUCCUUUCAAGGUCCUCUGGGCCCUGAUGCCAACUUUACUGUCCAGGACAACCGAGAUGGCUCCGCCAGCCUGCUGCUGCCCUCCCGCCCUGCUCCACCCCGCCAUGCCCCCUACUUGGUUCCCAUAGAACUGUGGGACUGGGGGCAGCCAGCGCUGAGCAGCACUGCCACAGUGACUAUUAGUGUGUGCCGCUGCCAGCCUGACGGCUCUGUGGCAUCCUGCUGGCCUGAGGCUCACCUCUCAGCUGCUGGGCUCAGCACCGGCGCCCUGCUUGCCAUCAUCACCUGUGUGGGUGCCCUGCUUGCCCUGGUGGUGCUCUUCGUGGCCCUGCGGCGGCAGAAGCAAGAAGCAUUGAUGGUACUGGAGGAGGAGGACGUCCGAGAGAACAUCAUCACCUACGACGACGAGGGCGGCGGCGAGGAGGACACCGAGGCCUUCGAUAUCACGGCCCUGCAGAACCCGGACGGGGCGGCCCCCCCGGCGCCCGGCCCUCCCGCGCGCCGAGACGUGCUGCCCCGGGCCCGGGUGUCGCGCCAGCCCAGACCCCCCGGCCCCGCCGACGUGGCGCAGCUCCUGGCGCUGCGGCUCCGCGAGGCGGACGAGGACCCCGGCGUACCCCCGUACGACUCGGUGCAGGUGUACGGCUACGAGGGCCGGGGCUCCUCUUGCGGCUCCCUCAGCUCCCUGGGCUCCGGCAGCGAAGCCGGCGGCGCCCCCGGCCCCGCGGAGCCGCUGGACGACUGGGGUCCGCUCUUCCGCACCCUGGCCGAGCUGUAUGGGGCCAAGGAGCCCCCGGCCCCCUGAGCGCCCGAGCUGGCCCGGCCCACCGCGGGGGGGGCAGCCGGCACAGGCCCUCUGAGUGAGCCCCACGGGGUCCAGGCGGGCGGCAGCAGCCCAGGAGCCCCAGGCCUCCUCCCUGUCCCUGUGUCUCUCCUUGCUUCCCCGGGGCACCCUCGCUCUCACCUCCCUCCUCCUGAGUCGGUCUGUGUGUCUCUCUCCAGGAAUCUUUGUCUCUGUCUGUGACACGCUCCUCUGUCCGGGCCUGGGUUUCCUGCCCUGGCCCUGGCCCUGCAUCUCUCACUGUGAUUCCUGUCCUUCCUCCGUGCCGUUUUGUCUGCAGUUCUGAAGCUCACACAUAGUCUCCCUGCGUCUCCCUUGCCCAUGCACAUGCUCUGUGUCUGUCUCCUGCCCACAUCUCCCUUCCUUCUCUCUGGGUCCCUGUGACUGGGUUUUUGUUUUUUUCUGUUGUCCAUCCCAAAAUCAAGAGAAACUUCCAGCCACUGCUGCCCACCCUCCUGCAGGGGAUGUUGUGCCCCAGACCUGCCUGCAUGGUUCCAUCCAUCACUCAUGGCCUCAGCCUCAUCCUGGCUCCACUGGCCUCCAGCUGAGAGAGGGAACCAGCCUGCCUCCCAGGGCAAGAGCUCCAGCCUCCCGUGUGGCCGCCUCCCUGGAGCUCUGCCCAGCUGUCAGCUUCCCCUGGGCAUCCCAGCCCUGGGCAUUGUCUUGUGUGCUUCCUGAGGGAGUAGGGAAAGGAAAGGGGGAGGCGGCUGGGGAAGGGGAAAGAGGGAGGAAGGGGGGAGGGGCCUCCAUCUCUAAUUUCAUAAUAAACAAACACUUUAUUUUGUAAA
rnacentral:sRNA from 1 species